rnacentral:rRNA from 2 species
ACGGCUCAGUAACACGUGGCUAAUCUGCCCUUAGGACAAGAACAACCCCGGGAAACUGGGGCUAACUCUUGAUAGGUGAAGAACUCUGGAAUGGGUUUUUGCUGAAAAAGCUUCACGUUAUGCUCGUGAAGUUGCCUAAGGAUGAGGCCGCGACCGAUCAGGUUGUUGGUGAGGUAAUGGCUCACCAAGCCUUUUACCGGUGCGGGCCGUGAGAGCGGGAGCCCGGAGAUGGGCACUGAGACAAGGGCCCAGGCCCUACGGGGCGCAGCAGUCGCGAAAACUUUGCAAUACACGAAAGUGUGACAGGGCUAUCCCGAGUGCCUUCCGCUGAGGAAGGCUUUUACCUAGUAUAGAAAGCUAGGGGAAUAAGGAGAGGGCAAGUCUGGUGUCAGCCGCCGCGGUAAUACCAGCUCUCCGAGUGGUGUGGAUGUUUAUUGGGCCUAAAGCAUCCGUAGCUGGCUAAGUCAGUCCUUUGUUAAAUCCACCGAAUUAAUCGUUGGAUUGCGGGGGAUACUACUUGGCUAGGGGACGAGAGAGGCAGACGGUAUUUCCGGGGUAGGGGUGAAAUCCUAUAAUCCCGGGAAGACCACCAGUGGCGAAGGCUGUCUGCUAGAACGCGCCCGACGGUGAGGGAUGAAAGCUGGGGGAGCGAACCGGAUUAGAUACCCGGGUAGUCCCAGCUGUAAACGAUGCAGGCUAGGUGUUUGGACGGCCACGUGCCGUUCUAGUGCCGCAGGGAAACUGUUAAGCCUGCCGCCUGGGGAGUACGAUCGCAAGAUUGAAACUUAAAGGAAUUGGCGGGGGAG